rnacentral:rRNA from 1 species
AAUCAACGCUGGCGGCGUGCCUCAGACAUGCAAGUCGAACGCGAAAGGCCCCUUCGGGGGCUGAGUAGAGUGGCGUCCGGGUGAGUAACACGUGGGUAAUCUACCUUCGGGUGGGGAAUAACAGUCGGAAACGACUGCUAAUACCGCAUAAUGCAGCGGCACCUAAUGGUGACAGUUGUUAAAGCGGGGGAUCGCAAGACCUCGCGCCUGAAGAGGAGCCCGCGGCGGAUUAGCUAGUUGGCAGGGUAACGGCCUACCAAGGCGACGAUCCGUAGCCGGCCUGAGAGGGCGGUCGGCCACACUGGCACUGACACACGGGCCAGACUCCUACGGGAGGCAGCAGUCGGGAAUUUUGGGCAAUGGGCGAAAGCCUGACCCAGCAACGCCGCGUGAAGGAUGAAGCUUUCGG